rnacentral:rRNA from 15 species
AAAAAGCACGUGAAAUUGUUGAAAGGGAAGCGCUUGCGACCAGACUCGCUCGCGGGGUUCAGCCGGCAUUCGUGCCGGUGUACUUCCCCGCGAGCGGGCCAACGUCGGUUUGGGCGGUCAGUCAAAGGCCCCUGGAAGGUAACGCCCCCUCGGGGGCGUCUUAUAGCCAGGGGUGCAAUGUGGCCUGCCUGGACCGAGGAACGCGCUUCGGCUCGGACGUUGGCAUAAUGGUCGUAAGCGACCCGUCUUGUAACACGGACCAAGGAGUCUAACAUCUACGCGAGUGUUCGGGUGUCAAACCCGUGCGCGAAGUGAAAGCGAACGGAGGUGGGAACCCGCAAGGGUGCACCAUCGACCGAUCCUGAAGUCUUCGGAUGGAUUUGAGUAAGAGCGUAGCUGUUGGGACCCGAAAGAUGGUGAACUAUGC